rnacentral:rRNA from 1 species
AUUGAACGCUGGCGGCAUGCCUUACACAUGCAAGUCGAACGGUAACGGGCCUUCGGGUGCCGACGAGUGGCGAACGGGUGAGUAAUGUAUCGGAACGUGCCCAGUAGUGGGGGAUAGCCCGGCGAAAGCCGGAUUAAUACCGCAUACGACCUACGGGUGAAAGGGGGGGAUCGCAAGACCUCUCGCUAUUGGAGCGGCCGAUAUCAGAUUAGGUAGUUGGUGGGGUAAAGGCCUACCAAGCCUGCGAUCUGUAGUUGGUCUGAGAGGACGACCAGCCACACUGGGACUGAGACACGGCCCAGACUCCUACGGGAGGCAGCAGUGGGGAAUUUUGGGCAAUGAGCGCAAGCCUGAUCCAGCAAUGCCGCGUGCAGGAAGAAGGCCUUCGGGUUGUAAACUGCUUUUGUCAGGGAAGAAAUCCUCUGGGUUAAUACCUCGGGGGGAUGACGGUACCUGAAGAAUAAGCACCGGCUAACUACGUGCCAGCCGCCGCCGUAA